UGUCCACGUGGACAUAUGUUUAAGUUUGUGGGGUACAUGUUUGGUUUGUUCAUUCAUUUUUUUUUUCCGACUUCGGAUCUCCGCCUCGGUUCAAUCAUUUUGGUAUAUUCGGUAUCAUCGUAGUUCGUCUCUUCCAUCCGCGCCGUUUCCUCUAAUCUUUCACUGCAAAGACAAUGGAUUCGUCUCUAAACUCUUAGCCUUGUCUAUUGUUCAACGUAUUUCUCUUUAUGUGUCCAAUAAAUGUUAUUGUUUAAUGCAGCCUCCUCCACAUCUCCAACACUCUUAGCUAAACCAUCUUCUCAAUUUCCCUUCUCCGACUCAAUCAAAUCAAUCACGACCCUCGCGAUCCUUGCCGGUCCUUUGCUUCUUCUUUUUUUGUGUCGAUUCGCGACCGUCCUGCUGGUUAUCUCAACAUGCCGUUGACGGUGGUUGCGGCCGGUUUAUCCAAGUGGCUAGAUAUCUACAGUGUACUGAUGGUUAGAGUUUUGCUGAAUUGGUUCCCCAACAUUCCUUGGGAUCGCCAGGCUUUGUCUGCCAUUAGAGAUCUCUGUGAUCCUUAUCUCAAUAUCGUCAGGAACAUUAUCCCUUCCGUCUUUGUGGUCUCCUAACCCCCCAGCUGAGAGAACCCAAUCUGUCAUGGUGGACACUACUGUUAACCCAAAAAUAUUUGGAGCUGGACUGGCCGUUUGAUUCUGGAAGGAAGAAGACAUAUUUGAGUCAGGAGAGAGGUCAAAGAACUCCAAAGUAUUCAGACCGGUUAUGGAAGAAAGUGGAGUCGUGGUGCAAAGCGGUGGAGAGAACAUUCGAUCGAAUCUUAGAGUGCUGAUCUGUCUGUGUGAUAGUAGACGCGUGGCUAAAGAGGAGCGGAAAAAAAUGGGGACUAAGGCCGAUGAAAGGUUUCCAUUUCUCAAACAUCAAUAUUAUACAAGUUUUCUUUAUAUCCUUGGUCUCAGCAAGAUUAUGCUUCCCUUUAUUGGGCUGUGUUUUAAAAGCUGUCAUAAGUUGCACUAACUGAUAGUAAAUCAUUGGUGAGAUGGAAAAAAAUAUUACAGGAAAUGCUUUGGGGGUUAACAACAGCUGGCAUGGUGGCCUAUUUUGAGGUGCUGGUAGUGGUUGUGGCGGGGGUGGGGUGAUAGACGUCGUGGGAGCGUCAGCAAUGUAUGUGGCUUUAUGCAUGUGGUCGCUUUGUCAAGACUGAUGACUUCAGACUGAUUAUUUUGCAAGAAGGUUUAUAUCAAAGUUGCUAUAAAAAACCUCCCAUGCCGUUCUUCACUUUAUUCGGGAUAGAGGAUGCAGAAAAUUAUGUUGUUGUUGCUUUCAAUGAACUCAAAGUAUUCGCUCGAGUUAGAUCCAUCACCAACCAAUAUAAACAUACAAUUUUUCUUUAUAUUUUUUCCUUUCAGUUGUUCAACAUAGUACCUGAAUUAUGUGAUAUCUAUUGGAUUUGCAGAUCAGGUUUUUCGUUCAGGACUAAAUAUAUGCUAACAAUUCACGUCCUCCAGAUCCAGGUUCCGUGGAUAGUGCCAUUUUGUGGUCUUCGACAGAGAGACGAUGAAACUCAUCAAAAAGAUGAGUAGCGGUGAGGAAAUGGAGCUACCAAGAUGUCUUGAGGAGCUAGCUGGCAAUGAAUAUGUUUUUCAUCUACGUUGACUCCUUACAAUUUCACUCCAAAUCACCGUACGUUCACUGUAUCAUCAAUCAGUGAAGACGUUUUUACAUUUCAAUCCCACUUAGCUUUCAUUUCAUUUCAAUUGUCUAUUCAACAUGUUUCCUCUAUUUCAAACUUUGGUUGUCUCUAUGAUUUGCUGUAAAUUAUUUCAAUCACCGUACGUUCACUAUGACUUUAUAUAAUAAAGGAAGCGUGAACGUGUCUUUAGUUAA